UAGUAUACAUACAUUAACCUAUUUCUUCGCAAUGUUGCGUAUACGCAACACGAGGUGUUUAAUUAAUUACUGACGUCAGUAAUUAUUUUUUUUCACGAAGUGUUACAUUGUGAUAAUAAGUUCAUUUUGACUGCAUUUUGUGAAGUUAAACUUCAUGUUGCGUAUACGCAACAUUAGGAAGAAAUGGUGGGUUAAGUACGCAACAUUAGUGCAUCGUCAUCAGUGGGAUAUACAUUAUAGUGAUUGAUUAGGAUUUUUUUGAUUAAACAUCAGUGAUUGAUUAAGAAUAUUAUAUUAUAUAUAUACAUACAUGAAGUACGCAAUAUCGGUGCAUCGUCAUCAUCAUCAGUGGGAUACAUUAGUGAUUGAUAUAUCGUCAUCAUCAGUGGGAUACAUUAGUGAUUGAUUAGGAUAUUUUCUGGUUAAAUAUCAGUGAUUAAGAAAAAGAAGCUUCGGACAUUCGUGCUAUAGAAAAUCUCAAGGACUUCACACCGCCGCGAAAAAAGAAAAAAGGUUGAGAAUCGUAUGGAUAAUAUGGACGAUAUGGAGGACGAAUUGCAAAAAAUCGCUAUAGAGCAAGAAAACGCAAUUAGACAAAAUAGAGGCCCAACUUAAAACAUUAAUUACAAAAAAAGAGGAUACUUCUGCAAAUAAUUCCCGAUCAAGGGGUAUUAGUGCUGGCAGAAGCCGAGUAAUCUGGAAGGUCCGUCGUGGACGUGGGAGAGCAGGACGCGGCCAAUACAUAAAAUAAAUAAAAA